UUGGAGAGUUUGAUCCUGGCUCAGGAUGAACGCUGGCGGCGUGCCUAAUACAUGCAAGUCGAACGAGUUCUCGUUGAUGAUCGGUGCUUGCACCGAGAUUCAACAUGGAACGAGUGGCGGACGGGUGAGUAACACGUGGGUAACCUGCCCUUAAGUGGGGGAUAACAUUUGGAAACAGAUGCUAAUACCGCAUAGAUCCAAGAACCGCAUGGUUCUUGGCUGAAAGAUGGCGUAAGCUAUCGCUUUUGGAUGGACCCGCGGCGUAUUAGCUAGUUGGUGAGGUAAUGGCUCACCAAGGCGAUGAUACGUAGCCGAACUGAGAGGUUGAUCGGCCACAUUGGGACUGAGACACGGCCCAAACUCCUACGGGAGGCAGCAGUAGGGAAUCUUCCACAAUGGACGCAAGUCUGAUGGAGCAACGCCGCGUGAGUGAAGAAGGCUUUCGGGUCGUAAAACUCUGUUGUUGGAGAAGAAUGGUCGGCAGAGUAACUGUUGCCGGCGUGACGGU
rnacentral:rRNA from 2 species